UACGGAGGGUGCAAGCGUUAAUCGGAAUUACUGGGCGUAAAGCGCGCGUAGGCGGCUCGGAAAGUCGGGCGUGAAAUGCCGGGGCUCAACCCCGGGACUGCGUCCGAUACUUCCGAGCUGGAGGUAGGUAGGGGAGAUCGGAAUUCCUGGUGUAGCGGUGAAAUGCGCAGAUAUCAGGAGGAACACCGGUGGCGAAGGCGGAUCUCUGGGCCUUACCUGACGCUGAGGCGCGAAAGCUAGGGGAGCGAACAGG
rnacentral:rRNA from 1 species